UAUGUGAUGAAGACCAUUUGAAUCCCAAUUCAAUUAUCGACUAGCUACGGCGAUGUUGUCGAACCUAAUCACCAUCUUUCGCCUGACUAUA